rnacentral:sRNA from 1 species
GGUCCCAAGAACAUAUCAAUCCUGUGUUAAUAUAAGAAUAUUAUCUUGUCCUCUAGAUAAGCUACCUUACCUUCCAGGCUCACAAACCACAAUUAUGUAGCCAUACUGAGGCAUGGAACAGAAAACUGUAUUUGUUUUGAAUGAGAACACAUUUGCCUUUAUCAGGCCACAGCUGCCUUCCAGGGUAAAGUCAGGCACUGACUGUUAGCAUGGCCCUGAAAGGCAAGGGAACCUUCACAUACCUGACAUUUGGUUUUAGCUGUGGCCCGAAGCAGUAGUUCUCAACUGGGGGUGGUUUUGUACCCUCUCUACCCAGGGGACAUUUGGCAAUGUGUAGAUAUUUUUGGUUGUCACAUCUAGGGGAAGUGGUCCUGCUGGCAUCUAGUUAGUAGAAGCAAGAGUGCUGCUGAAUUUUCUACAAUGCACAGGACAACUCCCACAGUAAAUAUUUGGCUCAAUAUGUCACUAGUGCCAAAGCUGAGAAAGCCUGGCCUAGAGUGAUGGGUCUUCGUGGUUGAAACUAAAAGAAGAAAUUUUCCUGUAUAGUAGAAAUGGAUUUUUAUUUUAGCUUUUAAAAAUAAAAAAGGGGAAUAAGUAGAAUAUAAUGAACACUCAAAUAUCCACAAGUAAUCAUUGUUAAUAUUUCAUUAUAUUUAAGACUUGGGAUUUAAUUGGUUUCUUCAAAUAAAACGUUUAGUUAA